GUGUUUACAAACCAGAGUCGUAAUUCAGAUCGUACAUUUCAUUUCCUCACAUCCGGAUUAACCCACACAACAGGGCCUCAGAAAUAUUCGCGGGAGCAAGAGGCGGUUGGUUGAAUCAACACCGCUGUGCAUGAAGUGGAAAGAUGAAUCAACUCCAUUCGUCAUUAAUAAAUAUCCAGCGUCCACCUUGGUAGGAUAGCAUCAGAAUAACAAUUGGCCUAGAGAAGUUUACCUUCACUUUAUGAGUCAUACCUGUCCUGGUAAUUUACCUGUGUUCUCCAGCUACUGGAACUAACUCAUAGGAUUAAGUUGAUUGAUUCAUCUUUAAGUAUGUUCCAUGUAAUUGAUGUCUUGUUACAUACAUUUAUAUAAUUGCAAAAUAAGUCAUACAUUUUAGAUAUUAAAAAAAUGUAAUUAUGGUUUAUACUAGACACAUAUAAUAAUUAUUAAAUAUACAUGUGUCAAACAGAGAAACCGUGUAUGUGACACAAUACACUUGCUGAGAAACUCAUUUUAACAAAUAUUUAUGAGAUAUGCUUGUUACAUGUUAACAUAAAGUAUGAAACCAUUAUAAAAAUAAAACAAUAUGGCACAGUAAACAUUUUAUGAAAAACUAAAAUAAUAUAGUGGUCAGAUAAUACAGCAAUUUUAGAAGAUUAGAUCAUUUUUAUUGAAAAUUGUAAGUUAUUCUAUCGUGUAGAAUGUUUCUGAAGACAUUCAGUGAUACACCUUAUGUUGUUGUUGGUAACAUAUUAAAUAAGUGUAUCCCUAUGCAUACAUAACCAUUUCAGUUUUUUCAAGGCUAAUAUUUGCGAUGUCAAUAAUCUGCCUUUGACGUGUGUCAUACUUAUGUAUAGACCUUUGCAAUUCCUGGCUUUCUUGGUUUUCCUUGAUAUGCACCAAGCUGCCGAGAAUAAAUGCAGUCGUCAGUAUUUUGAGCUCCUUAAUGUAUUCCAUACUUGAUAGGUUUUUUCUUUCUCCAGGAACGCAUCUAAUGGCCUUUUUGUGCACAUAAAAAUUCUUUUCACUCCAGAGGCGUUACCCCAUAGCAGCAGUGCAUACAUGGAGUGACCCCCCCCCCCCCCCCCCUUUUUUUUGCUUGUCAGUUACACAAGUCCCAAGUCUACUUAUCAGUAAGGUGACUUGGGCUAACUUUGUGUACACAUAGUGUGAGUUUCCCAAGCUAAAUUUUGGAUGAAGAUGAAUCUCAAAGUGCUUAACCGAGAUACUACAGUUGUCAUUAUUAAAAGAAUAUGUACAGUUUUAGAGUGGUUAAUUUAUAACUUAUUUAUUGUGGACCAUAUACUGAAUAUUCUGAAUUGUUCUGCACCUUUGUGCUCCUGUGUGUCUUAGGCUUCAUGUACUGUAACAAAGAUGGUGUCAUCUGCUUACAAUAUGGACUUACAUGGCAUUGUAUUGUGCAAAUUGUUUACAUAAAUUAUUAAAAGCAAAAGUUCAAGAACAAACCUUGUGGGACACCACAUAUAAAAAAACA